CUGCUCGCACUUUCCAUAUGGAGCUGGGAGCGUUUGCCGGUUGGACGACCUAAGACCGUGAAGUACGAGGAUUGGGACGAUAAAGACGACCCACUAUGGCUCCCCACUUGGGCUUACAAGUGGGAUGUGUUAAAUGAGACGACGGAUGAUCCCUCGGUAAUGUACAAGUUGUACAAGAGCGAGCUGGACGCGAUCACGCCUGAGCAGGUGAACCGACCUUGCAUAAGUGAUUAUCAUGCUUGUAUCUUCACUCGAUAUCAAUUUUGCAUUCAAUCCCAUUAUGCAGGUGGAAUGGGAGCCGUAUGGAAAAGGAGAGAGUUUUGGUAA
rnacentral:rRNA from 1 species